UACAGAGGGUGCGAGCGUUAAUCGGAAUUACUGGGCGUAAAGCGUGCGUAGACGGUUAUUUAAGUCGGGUGUGAAAGCCCCGGGCUCAACCUGGGAAUGGCGAUGGAUACUGGCGGGCUAGAGUGCGGUAGAGGAGAGUGGAAUUCCCGGUGUAGCAGUGAAAUGCGUAGAGAUCGGGAGGAACAUCAGUUGCGAAGGCGGCUCUCUGGACCAGCACUGACACUGAGGCACGAAAGCGUGGGGAGCAAACAGG
rnacentral:rRNA from 1 species